CAGAGGUCUCAAGCGUUGUUCGGAUUCAUUGGGCGUAAGGGGUGCGUAGGUGGCGCGCUAAGUCGGGUGUGAAAUUUCGGAGCUUAACUCCGAAACUGCAUUCGAUACUGGCGUGCUCGAGGACUGGAAAGGAGACUGGAAUUCAUGGUGUAGCAGUGAAAUGCGUAGAGAUCAUGAGGAAGACCAGUGGCGAAGGCGGGUCUCUGGACAGUUCCUGACACUGAGGCACGAAGGCCAGGGGAGCAAACGGGAUUAGAUACCCCGGUAGUCCUGGCAGUAAACGGUGCACGUUUGGUGUGGGAGGAUUCGACCCCUUCUGCGCCGGAGCUAACGCGUUAAACGUGCCGCCUGGGGAGUACGGUCGCAAGAUUA
rnacentral:rRNA from 1 species